UGCGGCCCUUGUGACCAAUGAGUCCUGGGCCACGCCUGUCUGAGGGUCGGUUACCGUUGUACAAAUGGG
rnacentral:rRNA from 3 species